GACGAACGCUGGCGGCGUGCCUCAUACAUGCAAGUCGAGCGAGCGGCGGACGGGUGAGUAAUGUCUGGGAAACUGCCUGAUGGAGGGGGAUAACUACUGGAAACGGUAGCUAAUACCGCAUACCAUCAUAUGUGCCAAGAUGGGAUUAGCUAGUAGGUGGGGUAACGGCUCACCUAGGCGACGAUCCCUAGCUGGUCUGAGAGGAUGACCAGCCACACUGGAACUGAGACACGGUCCAGACUCCUACGGGAGGCAGCAGUGGGGAAUAUUGCACAAUGGGCGCAAGCCUGAUGCAGCCAUGCCGCGUGUGUGAAGAAGGCCUUCGGGUUGUAAAGCACUUUCAGCGGGGAGGCGUUACCCGCAGAAGAAGCACCGGCUAACUCCGUGCCAGCAGCCGCGGUAAUUC
rnacentral:rRNA from 1 species